CUUCAUGCUAUGUUAUGUUUCCUUAAUAAAAUGUACACAUUUGUAUAGUAAUAGCGGAUAUUUGCACCCACGAUCCGUGGAGCGCACAUGUGGAUGUGCUAUCUGCAUGUAUCCGUGCAUCAUGUCAUGGGACAACACACACUUGUUGUGUCAUGCAACAACAUGUGCACAAGUACAUACAAAUACACAGCACCCAUCAUCAACUUCUCUAAUGAUCCUUCCGCAGGUUCACCUACGGAAA
rnacentral:misc_RNA from 1 species